AUAUCAUUCGGACCGUCGGUCUACCGAGCAAUAUCACCCGCUCGGUGGGAGAUCUUCCCUUUGUCAU
rnacentral:pre_miRNA from 1 species